GAUUACAGGCGUGAGCCACCAUACCACACCUCCACAGUUAUUUCUGAUGAUCAAGCAGGUCUGAAAACCAUUGCACUCAUAAAACAUUUUCAACCAGAAAAUUAAUAAAAACGGCUGUUUGGUGGUAGGGUUUUCCUGGCCAUGAACAAACAGCUUGUAGGAGAGUUCAAGAAUUUCCUGAAAAAGCACAGUGACAUCCCACCUACACAUCACACCACGCACCCUGCCCUGAGAACUUGAGAAUGAAUCCACUGACAGUGUGAGCCUUAGGAGGCCUCCCUGCUCUCUCACCUGAAAACCAAGGAUGAGAAUAGCGGUGGGAGGGGUGAACGAGAAGAGUAUCAAGUGGCUUCACUCAGUGCCUGCCACAUAGUAGAUGUUCAGUGUUUAUUAUUGACUGUUUUCAGAGCUACUGCCACUCAAUAGUGAAGAUAACCUGCAUUUCACACAUUUCUAGCUACCUCACAGGAAAUGGCCAUAAAGCCAUUAACGGGUAUGAAAAGCCGGGGACCAAGGAAAUCUCAUAGUGAGUAAAGAAGGUUGUCUUUAUCAAACACACCAAACAGUAACUCCAGUUUGGAAUAAAAGGUAAAUAUUUAUUGGCCCUAGGGCCCUUGCUAACUAGCUUAGAGUCCUGUGUGCUCAAAUGUCUCCACUGUACCCCCACGCAAAGCCAUCAGAGCCAGCAAACCAGCUGUGUCAGCCCCUACACAGCCAGACCUGGACCUCCCACUGCUUGACUAUAGGUUUUCCUGAUUGUGUCCCUCCUUGGGGUGAAUGUCCCAAUAGGAAAAAUGGAAAGGAGAAAGUAUUUGUUGCCCCCGUGUGCAUAACUUACCUUUCGAAAUAUCAGUCCAGGCCAAGUGCAGUGGCUUACACCUGUAAUCCUAGC
rnacentral:lncRNA from 1 species